GCUGGGCGUGGUGGCGCACGCCUGUAAUCCCAGCUACUCAGGAGGCUGAGGCAGGAGAAUCGCUUGAACCCGGGAGGCAGAGGUUUCAGUGAGCUGAGAUUGUGCCACUGCACUGCAGCCUGGGUGACAAAGCGAGAUUCCGUCUCAA
rnacentral:SRP_RNA from 1 species